rnacentral:rRNA from 1 species
GAUGAACGCUGGCGGCGUGCCUAAUACAUGCAAGUCGAGCGAACAGACGAGGAGCUUGCUCCUCUGACGUUAGCGGCGGACGGGUGAGUAACACGUGGAUAACCUACCUAUAAGACUGGGAUAACUUCGGGAAACCGGAGCUAAUACCGGAUAAUAUAUUGAACCGCAUGGUUCAAUAGUGAAAGACGGUUUUGCUGUCACUUAUAGAUGGAUCCGCGCCGCAUUAGCUAGUUGGUAAGGUAACGGCUUACCAAGGCAACGAUGCGUAGCCGACCUGAGAGGGUGAUCGGCCACACUGGAACUGAGACACGGUCCAGACUCCUACGGGAGGCAGCAGUAGGGAAUAUUCCGCAAUGGGAGAAAGCCUGACGGAGCAACGCCGCGUGAGUGAUGAAGGUAUUCGGAUAGUAAAACUCUGUUAUUAGGGAAGAACAAAUGUGUAAGUAACUAUGCACGUCUUGACGGUACCUAAUCAGAAAGCCACGGCUAAAUACGUG